ensembl:snoRNA
GGCAAGGGAUGCUUUUCUCACGAUGGUCUGCGGAGCCCCUGAGUGGGUGCUGUCGACGCUGCCCUUUGGCACGACUGAUGCCCUGCC